UUGUUGUCCUUUUUCCUCUCAUUGCAGUAAAUUGCCAUUCACUGACCACUUAUAAACUUUCAGAGUAGAUUUUUUUUUAUUGUAGGCCCUUUAUUUUUAAUCAUUAGGAAAUAAAUCCCGCCUAGCCUGUAUGCAGUUAUGUGAUUUGAUAUACUAUUUUUACUAAGGUUAUGUGAGCUAUUAAAGUGUAAACUGAGAAUUGUUUCAUGAUACAUUUUAUAUUUUCAUAGUGUAUCUGCCUCUAAUAUAUUACAGAAGGCAGUUGACAAAUCAUGUAAUUGACAUGUACUUUAUUUAUAGAACAGUAUGAUGCAUUUGUGAAGUUCACACAUGAUCAGAUAAUGCGAAGAUAUGGUGAACAGCCUGCUAGUUAUGUUUCAUGAAUCAUAUUUUCUGCAUUUGUGGGCUGCCUUGUUCCUUGUUGUUGCAGGAGGUCCCAAUUACGACAUGCAGCAAUGCCAAUACUCCCCCUGUGAAUACAGGUUAUUUCAAGCUUUCAUCAGUGGCAACCAACCACUCUUAGGCAGCAGCAACUGGUUUUGGAAAUUUCCCUGAUGUCAGUACCACCUGGAAGUGGACCUUUGCUACCCGUGUUAAUAUCAGUGGCCUCAUUUUGCUGUAUCAUUACAAUUUGGCUUCUUACGUUAAUGUUUGAAAAGGAUUAAAGCUGGCAUUCUAUAACAUGCCCUUCACUGGUUGUAUAAAUAAAACUGUAGAAUGACACUCAGAUGAAGUUAGUGUGAUUUUAAUUGUGCACUACAACCAAGCUGUAACCAGUUAUUAAUAUUUUAGAAUGUAAUCCCAGGACAUUAUUAAGCAAAUAGCCUACAGUACUUCCUGUGAAAUAGUGAAGGAGGAGGGCAUUUCUGUAUUCCAGGACUUUUUGGGGUUUCAGAAUGGGUUUAUAUGAUUUCUCUUUUUUUUGUUUUGUUUUAUUUAUUCUAUCAGUCUUUUUAACAAAUGUUUAUUGCUGCAAUUUUUUCCAGUGUAUCAUUGUUUUACCACCCAUGUAGUACUGGAAUUUAGUUGGAAGAAUAAAACAUUUACUUCUCUUCUGCCUGUUUUUUAAUGUACAGAUGGGUAGUAUUUGAAUAAAGCCAGUGUUUUAAAUGUAA